GAUCAUGGCUCAGGAUGAACGCUAGCGACAGGCCUAACACAUGCAAGUCGAGGGGCAGCGGAGAGGUAGCAAUACCUUUGCCGGCGACCGGCGCACGGGUGAGUAACGCGUAUCCAACCUGCCUUACACUCUUGGACAGCCUUCUGAAAGGGAGAUUAAUACAAGAUGUUAUCAUGAGUAAGCAUUUCGCAUGAUAAAGGUUUACCGGUGUAGAUGGGAUGCGUUCCAUUAG
rnacentral:rRNA from 1 species